rnacentral:rRNA from 1 species
GACGAACGCUGGCGGCGUGCCUAAUACAUGCAAGUAGAACGCACAGUUUAUACCGUAGCUUGCUACACCAUAAACUGUGAGUUGCGAACGGGUGAGUAACGCGUAGGUAACCUGCCUGGUAGCGGGGGAUAACUAUUGGAAACGAUAGCUAAUACCGCAUAAUAUUGAUUAUUGCAUGAUAAUUGAUUGAAAGAUGCUAUUGCAUCACUACCAGAUGGACCUGCGUUGUAUUAGCUAGUAGGUGAGGUAACGGCUCACCUAGGCGACGAUACAUAGCCGACCUGAGAGGGUGAUCGGCCACACUGGGACUGAGACACGGCCCAGACGCCUACGGGAGGCAGCAGUAGGGAAUCUUCGGCAAUGGACGAAAGUCUGACCGAGCAACGCCGCGUGAGUGAAGAAGGUUUUCGGAUCGUAAAGCUCUGUUGUAAGAGAAGAACGGGUGUGAGAGUGGAAAGUUCACACUGUGACGGUAUCUUACCAGAAAGGGACGGCUAACUACGUG